GAGAAGAAAAAGAACUGAGCAGUUAUGGUGAAGUGUGUGAGUGCCAAAAGCUGGAUUUCACUUUUGUUUCUUCGUGGUAAAGGUAAGGGAACAAGCACACAGUUAAGCGACUUGCCUGAGGUCAUACAGCUGAUGAGAGAGAACCGGGAUUUGAAUUAAGGUGGAAACAUUUCCAAAUUUUGAGCCCCAUCCCACCCGCAGUGACUGGUUCUGGCGUAUAGAGGGAAAGACACUGAAAAGUGGCGGCAGUGCUGGCCCAGCUCGAAGGUCUAAUUUAGAAUGCCAGAGGACCUCUGCCCACCACCUUCAAACAGGAAGAGCACCAGGUCGAGUGCUCACACUGGCAGUUAGACAGUGAUUGCUAAAGCAGACUCACAGGACCCCAAAUAGUGAUGCUUAAGAACCCA